AAACAUUUCAAGAGCUCAACUUACUUAAUGGUUCAAUUUUGUUUCACGAACGCAAAACAUAUAGGUUUAUGAAUAUGAAAAGGUUGAGGUGGUGUUGAUUUGACUCUGUGUAGGUUUAGGUUGGUAUUUUUAUUGAUGGGAAGAAUAUUCAGUGACAAGUCCUAAGACCCGGGCGUCUGCAUUUUGUUUUUGUUAUUUUUCAUUUUAUUUUGUUUUAUAUUUACUGAUUUUUGUUGGUGAAUCUUUUCUUUAAGCAGAUCUGCACAUCGGAAAUUACAAGCAUUACACGUCGGCGAGAAAAUUGUUAUGACGUCAUUUUGCUGAGUGUGGAAACUAGAUGCGACGACAGGUUUCACUAUCAGCAAAGAACGGAUGAAUGGAUGAAAGACUGGGAAUAAAAACAAACGGACUGACUGGUAAGAGAUGACAAGACUUGACCAUGACUCAAGGUUAACCACCUCCACCUAGAUAGGAUAAAAGGGUGGAUGAAUUUAUGUGGGUUUCUUUUACAGGAGUAGAAGGAUGACAAAAUAUUCGAGGAUGAGUGAACCUGUAAAUGCCAUUUUUGUGUCUUGUGUUGCUUACAGAGGUAACUGCGCAGCGUUACCAUUUACAUUUUCUUCCCUACAGGGUUACAGUUUUAAUGUUUUUCUAUUACAGGAUUUCUGGGCGGAUGUGUGAAGAAACGGUGUUUAUGGGUUAGGAGUUGGGGAUGCUAUUACACUGUAUUCUGGUGAGAGUGUUGGGGGAGACACACCCUGUCUUGAAAACUGUGAUUCUUUUACAGGAAAUGUUUUAUAGCACCUAUGGAAUGAGGAUGCCUGACUACGGUCAAUGUGCUGCUAAUGUUUGCUUUGCUUUGGUGAGAGGGGUGCAGUAGAAAACAGACAAGUGACAUGAAAACAAGUAAUAAUAACAAAUAACAAAUUUGGGGACAGUUUGACCUAGAGCCCACUAACUGGCCAUUAGGGGCUCUCUCUCUCUCUCUCUCUCUCUCUCUCUCUCUCUCUCUCUCUCUCUCUCUCUCUCUCUCUCUCUCUCUCUCUCUCUCUCUCAGGUUGUUGCUCUUUAACUCCUAGAACACGCCCUUGGCGAGGUGGGGGGAACUGGACCACCUUUCUGUGCCCCAUCAUCCUCUAUUAGACGACAUCCAAGCUAAGUAAACAUGUCUUGGCCCUUUCCCCCUGAAAUGACAGGCAGGCAAAGAUGUUGCGUCUUUGUUUGCUUCCUGGCCCUGGGUCUCAUUCCCAUUGGCAUAAUCCUGAUCUGUGAAGGGCCCCCGACACUUCUGACACCUUCAAGUUCAAAAGCUUCGCCCCCUUCUGACAGUCCCAAUCUGACAAAUGUAGCCCCUAGGGUCUUGCCCACCACUUCCUCUCCAGUUUUGCCCACGCCCGAUCCAUUUAGAAAGAAACGAGACACGGUUACCUCCUCGCCAACGGAUGAUGAAAACUCUGAUCGUGAGGGUGACGAACAUUAUCGUCUUUCUCUUGUUUAAAUUCUUCUAGAAUGGUUGUUUCUCUGUGGUGUUUUGUAUUAGGCUUGUUAUUAAUUGUUUCCCUCACCCACUUCCUCUUGAAGGAUAUAUCUGGUUGAACUGUGUCUGGUCGGGUUGUGAGGGUUAAGCGAUGUUCUCAGGGUCUCCGGACUUAAGCCUGAGCGAAUGUGUACUCCCACCAAUGGAUAUGAAUUGUUUUUUUUUUCCACACCCCUUCCUCACGUUUUACCAUAUUCACUUUUGAAUGUCCUUAGCAGUUACCGUUCUGGGUUUAUUUUACGGUUGAUUUAUUCUUUCACAUUUUCACGUUUAUAUCUCUCAUUAUUAUAGUAGACUCUGUACUCUCCACAUUUUUAUCAUUACUUAUGCUUUUUGGUUGCUGAGUUACAGGAACUGUUAAUUUUGUGUCACUACCCUGGUUGCACUAACUCGUUGUAUCCGUGUGUGCAGGACAGCUGUUACUGCUUUCAUCGGGAACCGAGACUGCUUGCAGCCGACCCCUGGGCAGGGUGGUGCCUGGACUCUUUUCUCCUCAUCUGCAAUGACAGAUAAAGACAAAUGAUAAGACCCGAGGAGUUUUUCGAGCCAGGCUUCGACACGUCUCUGUGUUCCUUUGAAUGUUACUUAUGUUUGUGUGUUGACCCAUUUAAGAUGGGUCAAAAGGGGGAUUUGAAGAAAAUAUAAUCUGAUCAAACACUAUUCAGCUUUAAAUAUUGUUCAGCUUUAAAGUUACUGUGCAACUGUGUAAUAAAAAUAUGUGCUCACGACUUUGGCCUUGAGAGCGAUAAGAAGCGAUCGCCUCAUUCUGCAGGUGCAAGAUAUCUGCAAGCGAAGACACUAGAACACCCAAGGCCGCUUUCCUUUUAUGGAGUUGUUUUUCUG
ensembl:lncRNA